ACUUAAUAUUUAACUCAUAUAUCCCUUGAAUAUGGCGAGGAGUCUCUACCGGAAACCAAUAAUUUCUGACUAUGAGUAAAAACGUG
rnacentral:ncRNA from 1 species